rnacentral:rRNA from 1 species
UACGAAGGGGGCUAGCGUUGUUCGGAUUUACUGGGCGUAAAGCGCACGUAGGCGGACCAUUAAGUUGGGGGUGAAAUCCCGGGGCUCAACCUCGGAAUUGCCUUCAAAACUGGAGGUCUGGAGCCGGGGAGAGGUGAGUAGAAUUCCGAGUGUAGAGGUGAAAUUCCUAGAUAUUAGGAAGAACACCAGUGGCGAAGGCGGCUCACUGGCCUCGUACUGACGCUGAGGUGCGAAAGCGUGGUGAGCAAACAGG